UUGGAUGGAAUUGCCCCAAAAUGGAUGAAAUUGGCCCAAAAUGGGAUCAGAAUGUCCCAAAAAGUGGUCAAAGAGUCCCAAAACUGGAUGAAAUUGGCCCAAAAUGGGAUCAAAACACCCAAAAAUGGAUGGAAUUGGCCCAAAAUGGGAUCAGAACACCCAAAAAGGGAUCAGAAUGUCCCAAAAAGGGAUCAAAGAUCCCAAAAAUGGGUGAAAUUGGCCCAAAAUGGGAUCAGAAUUCCCAAAAAGAGGCGGAA